rnacentral:rRNA from 1 species
UUAAGCGACCAAGCGUACACGGUGGAUGCCCUGGCAGUCAGAGGCGAUGAAGGACGUGCUAAUCUGCGAUAAGCGCCGGUAAGGUGAUAUGAACCGUUAUAACCGGCGAUUUCCGAAUGGGGAAACCCAGUGUGAUUUGUCACACUAUCAUUAACUGAAUCCAUAGGUUAAUGAGGCGAACCGGGGGAACUGAAACAUCUAAGUACCCCGAGGAAAAGAAAUCAACCGAGAUUCCCCCAGUAGCGGCGAGCGAACGGGGAGGAGCCCAGAGCCUGAAUCAGCAUGUGUGUUAGUGGAAGCGUCUGGAAAGGCGCGCGAUACAGGGUGACAGCCCCGUACACAAAAGCGCAUGUGCUGUGAGCUCGAUGAGUAGGGCGGGACACGUGGUAUCCUGUCUGAAUAUGGGGGGACCAUCCUCCAAGGCUAAAUACUCCUGACUGACCGAUAGUGAACCAGUACCGUGAGGGAAAGGCGAAAAGAACCCCGGCGAGGGGAGUGAAACAGAACCUGAAACCGUGUACGUACAAGCAGUGGGAGCACAGGUUUACCUGUGUGACUGCGUACCUUUUGUAUAAUGGGUCAGCGACUUAUAUUCUGUAGCAAGGUUAACCGCAUAGGGGAGCCGAAGGGAAACCGAGUCUUAAUUGGGCGUUAAGUUGCAGGGUAUAGACCCGAAACCCGGUGAUCUAGCCAUGGGCAGGUUGAAGGUUGGGUAACACUAACUGGAGGACCGAACCGACUAAUGUUGAAAAAUUAGCGGAUGACCUGUGGCUGGGGGUGAAAGGCCAAUCAAACCGGGAGAUAGCUGGUUCUCCCCGAAAGCUAUUUAGGUAGCGCCUCGUGAACUCAUCUCCGGGGGUAGAGCACUGUUUCGGCUAGGGGGCCAUCCCGGCUUACCAACCCGAUGCAAACUGCGAAUACCGGAGAAUGUUAUCACGGGAGACACACGGCGGGUGCUAACGUCCGUCGUGAAGAGGGAAACAACCCAGACCGCCAGCUAAGGUCCCAAAGUCAUGGUUAAGUGGGAAACGAUGUGGGAAGGCCCAGACAGCCAGGAUGUUGGCUUAGAAGCAGCCAUCAUUUAAAGAAAGCGUAAUAGCUCACUGGUCGAGUCGGCCUGCGCGGAAGAUGUAACGGGGCUAAACCAUGCACCGAAGCUGCGGCAGCGACGCUUAUGCGUUGUUGGGUAGGGGAGCGUUCUGUAAGCCUGCGAAGGUGGCCUGUGAGGGUUGCUGGAGGUAUCAGAAGUGCGAAUGCUGACAUAAGUAACGAUAAAGCGGGUGAAAAGCCCGCUCGCCGGAAGACCAAGGGUUCCUGUCCAACGUUAAUCGGGGCAGGGUGAGUCGACCCCUAAGGCGAGGCCGAAAGGCGUAGUCGAUGGGAAACGGGUUAAUAUUCCCGUACUUGGUGUUACUGCGAAGGGGGGACGGAGAAGGCUAUGUUGGCCGGGCGACGGUUGUCCCGGUUUAAGCAUGUAGGCGGAGGUUCCAGGUAAAUCCGGAACGUUACUAACGCUGAGGUGUGAUGACGAGGCACCACGGUGCUGAAGCAACAAAUGCCCUGCUUCCAGGAAAAGCCUCUAAGCAUCAGGUAACAUCAAAUCGUACCCCAAACCGACACAGGUGGUCAGGUAGAGAAUACCAAGGCGCUUGAGAGAACUCGGGUGAAGGAACUAGGCAAAAUGGUGCCGUAACUUCGGGAGAAGGCACGCUGACACGUAGGUGAAGUGAUUUACUCAUGGAGCUGAAGUCAGUCGAAGAUACCAGCUGGCUGCAACUGUUUAUUAAAAACACAGCACUGUGCAAACACGAAAGUGGACGUAUACGGUGUGACGCCUGCCCGGUGCCGGAAGGUUAAUUGAUGGGGUCAGCGCAAGCGAAGCUCCUGAUCGAAGCCCCGGUAAACGGCGGCCGUAACUAUAACGGUCCUAAGGUAGCGAAAUUCCUUGUCGGGUAAGUUCCGACCUGCACGAAUGGCGUAAUGAUGGCCAGGCUGUCUCCACCCGAGACUCAGUGAAAUUGAACUCGCUGUGAAGAUGCAGUGUACCCGCGGCAAGACGGAAAGACCCCGUGAACCUUUACUAUAGCUUGACACUGAACAUUGAGCCUUGAUGUGUAGGAUAGGUGGGAGGCUUUGAAGCGUGGACGCCAGUCUGCGUGGAGCCAACCUUGAAAUACCACCCUUUAAUGUUUGAUGUUCUAACGUGGACCCGUGAUCCGGGUUGCGGACAGUGUCUGGUGGGUAGUUUGACUGGGGCGGUCUCCUCCUAAAGAGUAACGGAGGAGCACGAAGGUUGGCUAAUCCUGGUCGGACAUCAGGAGGUUAGUGCAAUGGCAUAAGCCAGCUUGACUGCGAGCGUGACGGCGCGAGCAGGUGCGAAAGCAGGUCAUAGUGAUCCGGUGGUUCUGAAUGGAAGGGCCAUCGCUCAACGGAUAAAAGGUACUCCGGGGAUAACAGGCUGAUACCGCCCAAGAGUUCAUAUCGACGGCGGUGUUUGGCACCUCGAUGUCGGCUCAUCACAUCCUGGGGCUGAAGUAGGUCCCAAGGGUAUGGCUGUUCGCCAUUUAAAGUGGUACGCGAGCUGGGUUUAGAACGUCGUGAGACAGUUCGGUCCCUAUCUGCCGUGGGCGCUGGAGAACUGAGGGGGGCUGCUCCUAGUACGAGAGGACCGGAGUGGACGCAUCACUGGUGUUCGGGUUGUCAUGCCAAUGGCACUGCCCGGUAGCUAAAUGCGGAAGAGAUAAGUGCUGAAAGCAUCUAAGCACGAAACUUGCCCCGAGAUGAGUUCUCCCUGAGACUUAGAGUCUCCUGAAGGAACGUUGAAGACGACGACGUUGAUAGGCCGGGUGUGUAAGCGCAGCGAUGCGUUGAGCUAACCGGUACUAAUGAACCGUGAGGCUUAACCUU